rnacentral:pre_miRNA from 1 species
AUUACCUGGGCAUCUUAUUAAAAUGCAGAUUCUGACCCGGUAGUCUAGGAUGGGGCCUGAGAUUCUGCAUUUCUUGCAAGUUCUCAGGUAACGCUGA